GAAUCGCUUGAACCCCGGAGGUGGAGGUUGCAGUGAGCCGAGAUCGCGCCACUGCACUCCAGCCUGGUGAGAGAGUGAGACUCCGUCUGAAAAAACAACAACAAAAAAAUCCUUUCUUACUCCAAUAUCAUACAGGUAUUUUUUUUUUUAAGUUUCCAUUUUUUUUUUUUUUUUUUUUUGAGACUCAGUUUCACUCUUGUUGCUCAGGCUGGAGUGCAAUGGCACGCUCUCAGCUCAUGGCAACCUCUGCCUCCUGGGUUCAAGCAAUUCUCCUGCCUCAGCCUCCCGAGUAGCUGGGAUUACAGACAUGUGCCACCAUGCCUGGCUAAUUUUGUAUUUUUAGUAGAAACGAGCUUUCUCUAUGUUCGUCAGGCUGGUCUUGAACUCCCAACCUCAGGUGAUCCGCCCACCUCGGCCUUCCAAAGUGGUGGGAUUACAGGCAUGAGCCACCACGCCCGGCCAACUUGACAAGUUUUUAAGGUAUAAUUCAUUCAGAGUCUAAAAGUUUAGUAGGAUCAUGGUAGUCAGGAGAAUAAUUUCACUGCAGAGGUGUGUAUGUGUUUAGCAAAGUGAUUGCUAACAGAUUUUCCUGAAAUCCCCGACAGCACAAAGUAUCCUUUACAUUAUUAUCUUUCAUGCAUAUAAAAUCUCACAUAUUUCUGUAUAGUGGGAGAACCUGGACUUUAACAUUUUAUAUGAAAGAAAUGCAUAAACCCUGUCUUUAGAAGAUAAUGUAAGAUUUGGAAACAAUAUGGUAAAAGUAGGAAUAGAACAAAAGGGGGAAAAUGACAAAAGAAAUUUUUUUAAAAAAGUCCAUGGGAUUCGUGGGUUUCUCAGCUUAAAGGGACAAGGGAAAGCAAGUCUAGGAUGACUCCCAGUAUUCAAAGUUACCAGAAGCUUGAGAUGAUGAACUGCUAAGGUAGUGAGUGUGCCCUAUUUUGGGGAAAAGAUGGUUUUCUCUUCAAGUCUGUUGCUCCUUAUCUUUCCUCAAUGAAUUUCUAAGGAGCAUUGAAAUUUGUGUGAAAGAAAGGCUUCCAAAAGUAAAUAAGUUUAAAAUCCAGGGUUUUGUAUUAUACUUUCAGAUUUCCACAAAGGCCCAGUUUCUCUGUUUUUUUUUUAAAGUUAAAAAAAAGUUGAAAAUCAAAAGCCCCAAGUGGGAAGUAAUUUGUGUGUAUCUAAAUAUUGUAUACAUUCACUGUUUUAUCCCAGCAAUUUAUAAACUGGGUGUGCAGAAAGCAGCCUGGAGCAAAAACAUUGUAAUGGGAGUUAAGAGAUCAGGAUUUUAAUGAUGGUCUGCUACUAAUCUAUACGAAAAUGGUUUGUGUAUAGGUUUCAGAUUCCUUAAAUAUGUAGAAUAAGACUACAUAAUCUUCAAGCUUCUCUGCAGCACUUAAGUUCAGAUUCUACUUAAGCACUUACGGAAUGUGUCAGUGUAAUUCCAAUUUACCCUAUUCCAGAUUUGUAGCAAAGCAUUUGUCAGAUGAAUCAUAGGGUGGUUUCUCUUCAGUUUUCAAACUUUGGAGCAAAACCUAUAUAGGUGCUUUUGGCGGCCUUACAGUUAAUAGGAUUUGCAGGAUACAAUAGUUUUAGACAAGCUCCUGGUAUGUGUUGUGAACAAACGUUUUCUGAAGAGGAAUUUGGAGCAAAGCAACUAUUUCAGGGAACAGUUUGCAAACUGGGGAGUUGAAGCCUUAGGUGUAAAACAAAGGUGCAUUCCAGAGAACAAAGGGAGGGUUUGGGUUUUACAGCAAAAGUUUCUGCCCAGGUUCCCAGUCAGGUUCGUUUAUACAAAUGAACGAUUGAACCGCACUUAGUUCUGAUUGGUUGAUACAGCUGAGCCCUGAUUGGUUGAGGCAGGUGAGCCCUAUAAGACCCAACACUCAACAGAGGUGUGGGUUUGGGGAGAACGCAGAGUCCAUGUGUGACCUCUAGUAGGUAAAUGACCACGUGUCUCUAUUUUAAAUUUAGACCCAGUUAGCCGCUCUGGAUGUUGACGGAUUGGCUCUUUCAGGUUCACAUUUGUUCACAGUCUGUAUGACCAAGAAAUUUGCAAAACAGAACAACUAGCGCUAACUCUUAAUAGCCUCAGUCAGAAUAAACAGACAAGACACUGCACCAAGGGCGUAUGGGCAUUGCACCUGCUCCUCAUGGGCUGCUUUCCCGAGCCUUAUGCCCACAGCCCUCCUUAGCAUUAUCGCAUUAUGAGGCUGGAAGUGCUUUUUUUUUUCUUUCUUUCUUUUUCUUUUCUUUUUUUUUUUUUGAGACGGAGUUUCGCUCUUGUUUCCCAGGCUGGAGUGCAAUGGCGCGAUUUCGGCUCACUGCGACCCCUGCCUCCCGGGUUCAAGCGAUUCUGCUGCCUCAGCCUCAGCCUCCAGAGUAGCUGAGAUUACAGGCAUGCACCACCACGCCCGGCUAAUUUUGUAUUUUUAGUAGAGGCGGGGUUUCUCCAUGUUGGUCAGGCUGGUCUCGAACUCCCAACCUCAGGUGAUCCG
rnacentral:lncRNA from 1 species